GAUGAACGCUGGCGGCGUGCCUAAUACAUGCAAGUCGAGCGAACGGACGAGAAGCUUGCUUUUCUGAUGUUAGCGGCGGACGGGUGAGUAACACGUGGAUAACCUACCUAUAAGACUGGGAUAACUUCGGGAAACCGGAGCUAAUACCGGAUAAUAUUUUGAACCGCAUGGUUCAAAAGUGAAAUACGGUCUUGCUGUCACUUAUAGAUGGAUACGCGCUGCAUUAGCUAGUUGGUAAGGUAACGGCUUACCAAGGCAACGAUGCAUAGCCGACCUGAGAGGGUGAUCGGCCACACUGGAACUGAGACACGGCCCAGACUCCUACGGGAGGCAGCAGUAGGGAAUCUUCCGCAAUGGGCGAAAGCCUGACGGAGCAACGCCGCGUGAGGGAUGAAGGUCUUCGGAUCGUAAAACUCUGUUAUUAGGGAAGAACAUAUGUGUAAGUAACUGUGCACAUCUUGACGGUACCUAAUCAGAAAGCCACGGCUAACUACGUG
rnacentral:rRNA from 1 species